rnacentral:rRNA from 1 species
CCUGGUGCUUCUUGCGGCGGGGGUACACCUGUUCCCAUCCCGAACACAGCCGUUAAGCCCGUCAGCGCCGAUGAUACUCUUCAGGGGAAAGUAGGUCAGCGCCAGGA